CCUUGAGACUAUUGAUGUGAGCUGCCAGGAACCAGGAAUGCCGCUGGAGCUACGCUGGCUUCUAACCACUUCAAACACACAGUGGAGUGCCCAAAGCAAUGUAACCUUGCUGGCUGUAGAAGUCUGCAAAACCAGAGAAAAACCGGAGUCAGCUGGCCUCAGAGAGGGAGGAUCACACAAGAGGACACUCUACAACCCAAGUCUACUUUCUAUAAGGAGGCAGCUGAACAAGACACAGCUGUUUGGAGACCAGCAUUCUGGGGAAGGCCCCUCUCUGUACAGCCCAAGAGGGAAUCUCUGAAUAGUUGCACUCUUGGACUGCGCUCAGUGUUCCUCAUCAGCUGGAGGCCGCAUCAUCAGCUUCGUUUUGUUGCCUCUGUCAUUGUUUUGGAGCCUUAGAGCGUGAACGUGCCUGGCCCCCUGCCACGGCUGCAGGAGUGGAGCCAGGGUGUGUACUGCAGCCCAGAGGAGGAGCCUCGCACUCUUCUGCAAAAAGAUUCCGGGGAGGAAAUCUGGAAAGUCUUUUCAAAACAACUCACAAAGGAAGGAGAGCUGCCAACUCUUGCAGGGUUGGUUUGCCCUAAUAAAUGAUCAGUUACUUAACGUGAGCA
rnacentral:lncRNA from 1 species